AGAGAAGGGGGAGGUUUCAGACCCUUUUAAACAACCAGAUCUUCUGUGAAUUCAUAGAGCAAGAACUCACUCAUUACUGUGAGGAUGGCACCAAGAUAGAUAUUCAUGAAGGAUCCACCUCCACGACCAGAAUACCUCCUACCAGGCCCCAGCUCCAACAUUUGGAUCACAUUUCAACAUGAGAUUUGGAGGGGACACACUUCUAAACCAUGUCAGCUAACCUGUCUGAAUCUCAGUUUCAUCAUCUAUAAACUGGGGAAAGUAUCUAUUUUAUAUAUAUAUAUAUAUAUAUGAUCUAAACAGCUGGGACUCCAGCCUGGACAACAGCAUGAGACUCCAUCUUUAAAAAAAAAUUAGCCUGGCCUCUCCCUCUCUCCCUCUCCCCUCUCCCCUCUCCCCUCUCCCCUCUCCCCUCUCCCCCUUCCCACGGUCUCCUUCCACGGUCUCCCUCUGAUGCCGAGCCAAAGCUGGACGGUACUGCUGCCAUCUCGGCUCACUGCAACCUCCCUGCCUGAUUCUCCUGCCUCAGCCUGCCGAGUGCCUGCGAUUGCAGGCGCGCGCCGUCACGCCUGACUGGUUUUCGUUUUUUUUUUUUGGUGGAGACGGGGUUUUGCUGUGUUGGCC
rnacentral:lncRNA from 10 species